ACUCCUACGGGAGGCAGCAGUGGGGAAUAUUGCACAAUGGGGGAAACCCUGAUGCAGCCAUGCCGCGUGUGUGAAGAAGGCCUCGGGUUGUAAAGCACUUUCAGUAGGGAGGAAGGUAGUGUAGUUAACACCUGCAUUAUUUGACGUUACCUACAGAAGAAGCACCGGCUAACUCCGUGCCAGCAGCCGCGGUAAUACGGAGGGUGCGAGCGUUAAUCGGAAUUACUGGGCGUAAAGCGCAUGCAGGCGGCCUGUUAAGUCAGAUGUGAAAGCCCGGGGCUUAACCUCGGAAUUGCAUUUGAAACUGGCAGGCUAGAGUCUUGUAGAGGGGGGUAGAAUUUCAGGUGUAGCGGUGAAAUGCGUAGAGAUCUGAAGGAAUACCAGUGGCGAAGGCGGCCCCCUGGACAAAGACUGACGCUCA
rnacentral:rRNA from 1 species